UCCAGGAAAGCUCAAGUGAGACUGGAUUCUGAAUGUGCUAAGGAAGUACAGGAAAAAAUACUGGAAAUUGCUUCUGUCCUGAAACAGGUGAGGCAGAAGUGGGAAUGGCAGCAUGAAGAGACAAAUAAUUUACAUGAAUAGAAAUGGAGAGUAGAAGCUGUGUUACCCUCAAAGUCAAGACCUGUCCAAGGAGGGUGAGGAGUUGGGGAAGAAGAUAUUACUGUUUGUGAGACUCUCGUAGUCAUAGUUUGCAAGAGCUGGUUACAGAGUUUUUACCUUGCAAGCCAGAUCUCACUAUUUAAAAUCUGCAUCUUGAUCUGAGUCAAAAGAUUGCUAUCCAGAAGGCUUUUUGGGAUCUUAUGAGUUCAAUCUAGCAGAGUAAUUAGACACCGACAGUGAUGUAUAAACUUCAGAGGGGUGGGCAGCUAACUCCUACCCUGGAAGCAUGUGAAUAAGAAGAACCUCAGGAGAAAAAAUACCUCUGGUG